AGUCGAACGGUGAUGUCAGAGCUUGCUCUGGCGGAUCAGUGGCGAACGGGUGAGUAACACGUGAGUAACCUGCCCCCGACUCUGGGAUAACUGCUAGAAAUGGUAGCUAAUACCGGAUAUGACGAUUGGCCGCAUGGUCUGGUCGUGGAAAGAAUUUCGGUUGGGGAUGGACUCGCGGCCUAUCAGGUUGUUGGUGAGGUAAUGGCUCACCAAGCCUACGACGGGUAGCCGGCCUGAGAGGGUGACCGGCCACACUGGGACUGAGACACGGCCCAGACUCCUACGGGAGGCAGCAGUGGGGAAUAUUGCACAAUGGGCGAAAGCCUGAUGCAGCAACGCCGCGUGAGGGAUGACGGCCUUCGGGUUGUAAACCUCUUUUAGUAGGGAAGAAGCGAAAGUGACGGUACCUGCAGAAAAAGCACCGGCUAACUACGUGCCAGCAGCCGCGGUAAUACGUAGGGUGCAAGCGUUGUCCGGAAUUAUUGGGCGUAAAGAGCUCGUAGGCGGUUUGUCGCGUCUGCUGUGAAAUCCCGAGGCUCAACCUCGGGUCUGCAGUGGGUACGGGCAGACUAGAGUGCGGUAGGGGAGAUUGGAAUUCCUGGUGUAGCGGUGGAAUGCGCAGAUAUCAGGAGGAACACCGAUGGCGAAGGCAGAUCUCUGGGCCGUAACUGACGCUGAGGAGCGAAAGCAUGGGGAGCGAACAGGAUUAGAUACCCUGGUAGUCCAUGCCGUAAACGUUGGGAACUAGAUGUGGGGACCAUUCCACGGUCUCCGUGUCGCAGCUAACGCAUUAAGUUCCCCGCCUGGGGAGUACGGCCGCAAGGCUAAAACUCAAAGGAAUUGACGGGGGCCCGCACAAGCGGCGGAGCAUGCGGAUUAAUUCGAUGCAACGCGAAGAACCUUACCAAGGCUUGACAUAUACCGGAAACAUGCAGAAAUGUGUGCCCCGCAAGGUCGGUAUACAGGUGGUGCAUGGUUGUCGUCAGCUCGUGUCGUGAGAUGUUGGGUUAAGUCCCGCAACGAGCGCAACCCUCGUUCUAUGUUGCCAGCACGUAAUGGUGGGAACUCAUAGGAGACUGCCGGGGUCAACUCGGAGGAAGGUGGGGAUGACGUCAAAUCAUCAUGCCCCUUAUGUCUUGGGCUUCACGCAUGCUACAAUGGCCGGUACAAAGGGCUGCGAUACCGUAAGGUGGAGCGAAUCCCAAAAAGCCGGUCUCAGUUCGGAUUGAGGUCUGCAACUCGACCUCAUGAAGUCGGAGUCGCUAGUAAUCGCAGAUCAGCAACGCUGCGGUGAAUACGUUCCCGGGCCUUGUACACACCGCCCGUCAAGUCAUGAAAGUCGGUAACACCCGAAGCCAGUGGCCUAACCGCAAGGGAGGAGCUGUCGAA
rnacentral:rRNA from 1 species